GUUUAGUCUGUAGUCUAAUCUAGAAUAGCUGCAGUGACUAAUACUUUAUUUUUACUGGUAAAAAUGAGUUUCGACGGUAAUUAAAACCCAACGCUUUAGGCAUUUUCUCCAUCUCUGCAAGAGGUCAAAUCACCCAUUACUCUUCCACACUAUUAUUAAUUUAUAUUAUGUGUUUUUUUUUUUAUGAUCGUGAUAUGUAUAAACACGAAUAGUAUAUCGCCAGUAUUAAAGCAGUACAAAAACUUCUCCAUGAUACCAUUUCAGACACAAUGGCGUCAGGCACUGUAUUUUUUAUUGAUUACUUCUGGAUCUCAGUUCUUUACUUUAGAAGAUUUCAUUCAAUAUUGGAAAUUACAGAAACUUAAGUUAAUUUAUAAAAUUUCAACUAUCUAAUGUCGAUUUAAAAUUAAGUUUAAAUUGAACUAUUUACUAAGAAAAAUAUAUUCGAUAAUUUUAUUCAAUAAUGAAUAAUUUAACUAAUAUUCACCAUAUUAAAUAAAACACCGUGACUUCUUUGUUGGAUUAACAGAAAAAUAUUAUAUAAAAUAUCCAAGACAUUGAAUACAAGUCUUUAUCGUUCGUUUACAAUAAAAUGAAAAAUGACAUUUGAUUUGUAGGUUAGCAAAUAUUUAGAGAGUGUAUACAUAUUUAUUGUUCGAAACAGAUACAAUUGAACGUAUGCGAUAAAUUCAUUCAUUGAGUUUGUGAUGUUCAGCUAAAAAUUACUCUGAUAUUUUAUUUCCUAUAAAAAUUAUUUUAUUUUUUAUUAUAGAUAUCGAUUUCUAUUUCAAUGUCAAAUUGCUAAGGUAUUGAUUAUAACAAGAUGCCUACUUCUUUUUGAAUGUAUAAUUAAUUGUAACAAUUUUAGCUGUUGAAAUAAAUUUAAGAAAGUGCAUAUAAAUUUUGUAUUUUCACUAAUAGAAUGAU